rnacentral:lncRNA from 1 species
GGACAGCUACGACUUAAACUCUAUAUCAAUUCGUAGAGUGGUGAAUGCACACUUGACCACUCCCUUCAUAUGCUGUUGUCAUCAUCAAUUUAAGAUGUCUCCAAGAGUCAUAACUAGGUGUUCUUUCAGUACUUUUGUAAAGUUAUUGGUCUGGAACCUGAGGGCCCGUUGGUGGUCUAUAAAUUCAUUCCAAAUGAAAACUUAUACCAAAGACUGCACGUCUCCCAUUCUUAAUCUUUGAUAAAAUUCCUGAACGGAACUGAGACAGAGAUAUGUGUAUCAUGCACUG